GCCGAGGUGGUGGAAUAGGUAGACACGCCAUCUUGAGGGGGUGGUGGGCGCAAGCCCGUAGGAGUUCAAAUCUCCUCCUCGGCACCA
rnacentral:tRNA from 1 species